rnacentral:rRNA from 1 species
CCUGCGGAGGGAUCAUUACAAGAAGCCGAAAGGCUACUUAAAACCAUCGCGAACUCGUCCAAGUUGCUUCGGCGGCGCGGGACCCCUCGGGGGACCGCAGCGCCGCUCCCCCCCCGGGGGUUGCGGGGCGCCCGCCGGAGGUCACAAACUCUCAUGUAUUAUAGUGGAUCUCUGAGUAAAAAACAAAUAAGUUAAAACUUUCAACAACGGAUCUCUUGGUUCUGGCAUCGAUGAAGAACGCAGCGAAAUGCGAUAAGUAAUGUGAAUUGCAGAAUUCAGUGAAUCAUCGAAUCUUUGAACGCACAUUGCGCCCGCUAGUACUCUAGCGGGCAUGCCUGUUCGAGCGUCAUUUCAACCCUCAAGCCCUGCUUGGUGUUGGGGCCCUACGGCUGCCGUAGGCCCUGAAAGGAAGUGGCGGGCUCGCUACAACUCCGAGCGUAGUAAUUCAUUAUCUCGCUUAGGGUGUUGUGCGGUGCUCCAGCCGUUAAAGACCAUCUUUAACUCAAGGUUGACCUCGGAUCAGGUAGGAAUACCCGCUGAACUUAAGCAUAUCAUA